UCGAACGGUAACGAUGGAAAGCUUGCUUUCCAGGCGACGAGUGGCGGACGGGUGAGUAAUGCAUAGGAAUCUGCCCAGUAGCGGGGGACAACCUGGUGAAAACCAGGCUAAUACCGCAUACGCCCUACGGGGGAAAGCGGGGGACCUUCGGGCCUCGCACUAUUGGAUGAGCCUAUGUCUGAUUAGCUUGUUGGUAGGGUAAAAGCCUACCAAGGCGACGAUCAGUAGCUGGUUUGAGAGAAUGAUCAGCCACACCGGGACUGAGACACGGCCCAGACUCCUACGGGAGGCAGCAGUGGGGAAUAUUGGACAAUGGGCGCAAGCCUGAUCCAGCAAUGCCGCGUGUGUGAAGAAGGCCUGAGGGUUGUAAAGCACUUUCAAUUGUGAAGAAAAGUUUAAGGUUAAUAACCUUAAACCGUGACGUUAACUUUAGAAGAAGCACCGGCUAACUCCGUGCCAGCAGCCGCGGUAAUACGGAGGGUGCGAGCGUUAAUCGGAAUUACUGGGCGUAAAGCGUGCGUAGGUGGCUUGGUAAGUCGGAUGUGAAAGCCCUGGGCUCAACCUGGGAACUGCAUUCGAUACUGCCAGGCUAGAGUAUGGU
rnacentral:rRNA from 1 species